GUCAUUACAGAGGAUCCAAACCUUGUAGCGGUAAUCUUCAGGCAUUGCAGUUGCUUCUAUCUCCUCAUCUAAUCUCUGCCAGGUUCUUGACAUGUCAAUUACCGACUUGGAGCAUAUGGGGCAUGUGUAUCUUUGGGCAUGCUUCAACAUCUCCCGGAAACACUCCUUAUGUAUUGUGUGCCCACAUUUCAGUACACUGGUGUCUUUCAGAGAAUCGAAAAGAUACUCAUAACAGAUGG
rnacentral:misc_RNA from 1 species